CCUGACUACCAAUGAUUAUACUUUCAGAACAAUAUGUUCCAAAAUGAAGUGAUACUUAUUGCAGACAGUUACAUUUUGGCAUAGAAGACACAAGGACAGAUUUGUGAUGACAACAUAGUGUAGUAUUUUGAGCUGCUAAUAACAUACUCAAUGUAUUCUACCACUUGUAUAAAUAUAACUUGUUCAGUGCUAGCGAACAUCCGUAAAUGUAUCUUCUCU